UGCUUUUACAGGAACACAUUAACUUUAGCUAAUUGUGGUUUAAUGAUAAAAUGUAACAGUAUAAGGUUCAAUUAAAACGGUAACGAUAAUAAUGGUUCUCCUAAACACACCCAGUCUCUGACUGGAGCUGCGCUUUGGGAGAAUCUCUGGGCUGAACUUUGUAAGACGAGUCACCUCAGAAAGUCUCAUGGCAAAACGUCCGAAACUGGUCCGGUAUUUCAGGAAGAAGGAAUGAGAAAAGAAGAACUGGAAAAAUGUGACAGAGGACUGACUGAACAGACGGGAGUUCAUGGGGUCAACGUGUCUCUGCUUGUCUCCAGAAUUCGAAGGUGCGGUUGAGUCAGCUGCUGUUUUCAGUCAGACCGACGAAACGCGGAAAAACAAGCGCCUGACUCACCUGCCUGAAGCCACAACUCACACCUGAUCCAGGAACAAAAUGACUUCUGUCUGCAGAAUGGACAACAACUGUCAGGUGAUGGACUGGCUGGAAAU